GAUGAACGCUGGCGGCGUGCCUAAUACAUGCAAGUCGAGCGAACGGACGAGAAGCUUGCUUUUCUGAUGUUAGCGGCGGACGGGUGAGUAACACGUGGAUAACCUACCUAUAAGACUGGGAUAACUUCGGGAAACCGGAGCUAAUACCGGAUAAUAUUUUGAACCGCAUGGUUCAUAAGUGAAAGACGGUCUUGCUGUCACUUAUAGAUGGUUCCGCGCUGCAUUAGCUAGUUGGUAAGGUAACGGCUUACCAAGGCAACGAUGCAUAGCCGACCUGAGAGGGUGAUCGGCCACACUGGAACUGAGACACGGUCCAGACUCCUACGGGAGGCAGCAGUAGGGAAUCUUCCGCAAUGGGCGAAAGCCUGACGGAGCAACGCCGCGUGAGUGAUGAAGGUCUUCGGAUCGUAAAACUCUGUUAUUAGGGAAGAACAUAUGUGUAAGUAACUGUGCACAUCUUGACGGUACCUAAUCAGAAAGCCACGGCUAACUACGUG
rnacentral:rRNA from 1 species